GGAAGCGUGCCUGAGGGGUUGAAAGGGAUGGUCUUGAAAACCAUUAUACUCGUAAGAGUAUCGGAGGUUCGAAUCCUCCCGCUUCCGCCA
rnacentral:tRNA from 2 species